AGUGGGGUUGUUAGGAAGAUAAACUGAGUUAAUGUACCAGAGGUGCAGAGACCAGUGUGCCACUCUGGAUCUGCCAUCACCAGCGUCUCCUUCAUCACCCUGCUGGGAGCAGCUUCGGAGCGAAAUCAGCGCCUGUCUUAAGAUCUGUGGUUUGGCUCUGGUUCUCCGGAACUCACUUGGGAUUGGCUCGAGGCUAAAUCCUCCUGCUACAUCCCCACGGUGAGGAGCCCGACCCUGUGGGAGAGAAGGAAAUCCCAGGCAAUCCCAGCCUCAUCAUGAAAGAACUGACUUGUUCUGCUCCAGAUCCACUGGUCACAUGAAGAAUUUCUCCAAACCUCUUAAACCUAGCAGUCUACAUUUUCUGCAUUUUCCAGGUAAGAGAAUCUACAUGUUAUCAACAGUGGUUGCUGUGGUUUCCCAAGGAUAGAAUGGCAUCUGCUCACCAGAGUUCACGUGAUGACUGAGCAGUGUACAUUCUGCAGCAUGUAGGCAUUGGAUCGGAGCGACAGGUCCCAGGAUGCUCUACGUUGGACACGCUGCGACAUCUGCCAGCUCUUUGACAAGGGACAGAAAAUCCAACUCAACCGAUCUGGAGCUGAAGAUGAGAUGGAUCCUACUCAAGACACAGGGAUAAGAGGGAUCUAUUUUCAAAGGAAACAAGACAGUCUUAGCAAAAGAAGAGAAAUGGAGGCGACUUUUUGGCAAAUACUGCAUCUUCAGCCAGGAGAAGUUGGCUGAGGACAAAAGGGCUUUUGAAGCGGUGUGGAAUUGCUGCAUUCUGUGGUAUGGAGAACCCUCCAUACUGUUCUCUACAGUAGGCUGCACCAACUCACAUUCCCACGAACAAGUGAGAUGUUUGCAGCUCUUACUACUAAGAAGUGGAAUCCACUGCAUCCCUCUUCUCACACCCCUUGAAUCUGGGUUGGCCCUGAGACUUAGAUGGGCCGAUACAAUGCUGAGGAAGCAAUGGUGUGCCAGUGCUAAACCUAGGCAUCAAGUGGCUCUGAAUACUUCAGCCCCUAUGCGAGCAAGCAAGCCUAGGCUGGCCUACCGCAGAGUGGAAGAUCACAUGCAAGGGAGACAAACCAUCCUGACUGAGGCCAUCCUGGACCAGCCAGCUCCUGCCUUACUAGCCAGCUGACCACAGACAUAAGGCCACUCUCCCCAAUGUCUGGUCACAUCCACGCAGAGAGAUGCAGCUCAGAAAUGAGAGGGGACCAGCAGCUGUGUGAGUCAACCGAACUGCAGAGUCUUCCGCCUGUGCCACCAAAAGCAAUCAGGCUGUGAAACUUUCCAGAGCGUUCCAUCUACCUCACACACUGUGCAAAUCGAGGGCUUCAGGAUACAUAGGUGAAAAUCACUUCCUCAUCAAAAUAUUUGCGGGCACUUUGAAAAGAUCACCGCCUCACAUGUGGAGUUUACUUCUGUGGGUGAAGGUGCACAGAGUCAACGUUAAGCACAUGACCUUGCUCCUUUUUAAGAUUAACAAAAGAGUGUGCAAAAGGAACUUAAGAUUCUUUCCAUCUAGUAUUAGCUGCCUGGAUCUUCAAAGUACCUCCAAGGGCACGUUCCGCCAAAAAGCAGAUGGUGGAAAAGCCCUCGUGUUCUUCCUGCUCUGUUGUCCAGUGACUGAGCCGUGUGCCUGACAGGUGUCCGAAUCUGAUUUUGUGUCACUCAGUGCAACCCUGCAUUAGCUGUGGCUGCCAAAGAAAUGACCUCAACAUUUAGCACCCGAAGGCAGCAGUGAACAUUUUCGGUCUCGGGGUCUGUAGGCCAGGAGCUCAGGAGCAGCUGAGGUGAGUGGUUUUGGCUCAGGGUCUCUCAGGAGAUGGUGCUCGAGAUGUCAGCCAAGAUUGCAGUCACCUGAAGGCUUGCCAGGCGCUAGAUUUGUUUGGAGGACUAUUUAUUUACCCAGCCAUCAAGUCCAUCCUUCAUGGGCUCACCACGUGCAUCUCUGCACUGAGCUGCUUGAAUGUCCUUAUACGUGACGACUGAUCCCCACAAUGCAAGUGAUCUAAGAGAGAACAAGGGGGAAGCCAUCAUAUGACCUGGUCUCGUUGUCAGUCAGGCUCCGUCACUUCGGUAAUGUCUUGUUGGUUGCAUAGGUCAACCCUAUUCAACGUAGGAGAGGACUACUCAGGGUAGGAAUACAGGAGGAGCGAAUCAGCAGGGGCCAUCUGGGAGUGGCUGCCACAGACUCCACAGCAGAGCUCCGGACUCAGGUACUGCUCUGGGUGGAAAAAGGCGUCGUUCCCACUCAACUCAUGGGGUAGAUGUAAGUCUAUGCUGAAUCAGAGACCUCAGGAGCAAAAUCACAGGCUAUCUCACCAUUUUUCUGUUAAUGUGUGUCUGUCUCAUCCAGGGAAUAUAAAGACCUCUGUUUCUCAUUUAGUCAUUUAUUAAUCCUUUCAUGUAACAAAAAUUUACCGAGGAUCUACUACCUGUCGGGCACUGUGAUAAGUAUUCGGUAACAGCAAUAAAAAGCACAUCUAGAAUGUACCCUCCAGGAUUCCACUGCCACCUUUCACAGAAGGGUACCAGUGAAGUACCGUUUCCUCUUGGAAAGUUCUCCUAACAUUCUAGGUUUGUGGCUCUUUAUUUUGUCCUUAGGGAAAACCUGACUUGUUCGAGGGUCUUACCCCAAUUGCCAUGCUCUCUAAGGAUCAAAGAACGACCAGACCCAGGAAAAUGUUAGGCAGAUAAGAUACAUUUCCCAACCAGUGCAGGGAAGAACAUUUUGGAAAAGGUCACCUGAACAAGCACAGAUCUACAAAAGGUGCAGUAUUUACAACUGUUACCGUAGAGAUGAUACCUGGUCUCCAGUUUUCAGGAUCCAGCUCAUAACAGUACCUUGGGUAUUGAAGUGCAUGUUUUACGCUAUCGUAAAACUGGACGUGUUAAUCAUGUCCUUUGAGUAAAAAUAUUGCACUAAUAUAAGAAGUGACUGAAAUAGGAGUUCCCUGGUGGCCUACCAGGUUGAGGAUCUGGCUUUGUCCCUGCCACGGUGUGUGUUCAAUCCCUAGCCCGGGACUUUCCCCAUGCCUUGGACACAACCAAAAAAA
rnacentral:lncRNA from 1 species